rnacentral:rRNA from 1 species
GAUGAACGCUGACAGAAUGCUUAACACAUGCAAGUCGAUGGGGAAGGCUGAGCUUGCUCAGCUGGUAACCAUGGCGGACGGGUGAGUAACGCGUAAGGAACUUACCUGCGGGACUGGGAUAACGGAGGGAAACUUCUGACAAGACCGGAUAAAGUUACUGGGCAGCAUUGUUUGGUAAUGAAAGGAGACGCCUGCGGAGAGUCUUGCGUCCUAUUAGCUAGUUGGUUGGGUAACGGCUGACCAAGGCGAAGAUAGGUAGCCGGCCUGAGAGGGUGGACGGCCACAAGGGGACUGAGAUACGGCCCUUACUCCUACGGGAGGCAGCAGUGGGGAAUAUUGGACAAUGGGGGCAACCCUGAUCCAGCAAUUCUGUGUGCACGAAGAAGGUUUUCGGAUUGUAAAGUGCUUUCAGCAGGGAAGAAGGAAGUGACGGUACCUGCAGAAGAAGCGACGGCUAAAUACGUGCCAGCAGCCGCGGUAAUACGUAUGUCGCGAGCGUUAUCCGGAAUUAUUGGGUUUAAAGGGAGCGUAGGCCGUGGAUUAAGCGUGUUGUGAAAUGCAGGUGCUCAACGUCUGCACUGCAGCGCGAACUGGUCCACUUGAGUGUGCGCAACGCAGGCGGAAUUCGUCGUGUAGCGGUGAAAUGCUUAGAUAUGACGAAGAACUCCGAUUGCGAAGGCAGCCUGCGGGAGCACAACUGACGCUGAAGCUCGAAAGUGCGGGUAUCGAACAGG